rnacentral:rRNA from 1 species
UACAGAGGGUGCAAACGUUGUUCGGAUUUAUUGGGUUUAAAGGGUGCGUAGGCGGCCUAUUAAGUCAGGGGUGAAAGACGGUGGCUCAACCAUCGCAGUGCCUUUGAUACUGAUAGGCUUGAAUACACUAGAGGUAGGCGGAAUGUGACAAGUAGCGGUGAAAUGCAUAGAUAUGUCACAGAACACCAAUUGCGAAGGCAGCUUACUAUGGUGUCAUUGACGCUGAGGCACGAAAGCGUGGGGAUCAAACAGG